rnacentral:rRNA from 1 species
AUUGAACGCUGGCGGCAGGCCUAACACAUGCAAGUCGAGCGGAUGAAGGGAGCUUGCUCCUGGAUUCAGCGGCGGACGGGUGAGUAAUGCCUAGGAAUCUGCCUGGUAGUGGGGGAUAACGUCCGGAAACGGGCGCUAAUACCGCAUAAGUCCUGAGGGAGCAAGUGGGGGGUCUUCGGAACUCACGCUAUCAGAUGAGCCUAGGUCGGAUUAGCUAGUUGGUGGGGUAAAGGCCUACCAAGGCGACGAUCCGUAACUGGUCUGAGAGGAUGAUCAGUCACACUGGAACUGAGACACGGUCCAGACUCCUACGGGAGGCAGCAGUGGGGAAUAUUGGACAAUGGGCGAAAGCCUGAUCCAGCCAUGCCGCGUGUGUGAAGAAGGUCUUCGGAUUGUAAAGCACUUUAAGUUGGGAGGAAGGGCAGUAAGUUAAUACCUUGCUGUUUUGACGUUACCAACAGAAUAAGCACCGGCUAACUUCGUG